rnacentral:rRNA from 2 species
GUCUGAUGGAGCAUGCCGCGUGAGUGAAGAAGGUUUUCGGAUCGUAAAACUCUGUUGUUGAAGAAGAACAUAUGUGAGAGUAACUGUUCACGUACUGACGGUAUUCAACCAGAAAGCCACGGCUAACUACGUGCCAGCAGCCGCGGUAAUACGUAGGUGGCAAGCGUUGUCCGGAUUUAUUGGGCGUAAAGAGAAUGUAGGCGGUUUAUUAAGUUUGAAGUGAAAGCCCUCGGCUCAACCGAGGAAGUGCUUCGAAAACUGGUAAACUUGAGUGCAGAAGAGGAAAGUGGAACUCCAUGUGUAGCGGUGGAAUGCGUAGAUAUAUGGAAGAACACCAGUGGCGAAGGCGGCUUUCUGGUCUGUAACUGACGCUGAGAUUCGAAAGCAUGGGUAGCAAACAGGAUUAGAUACCCUGGUAGUCCAUGCCGUAAACGAUGAGUGCUAAGUGUUGGAGGGUUUCCGCCCUUCAGUGCUGCAGCUAACGCAUUAAGCACUCCGCCUGGGGAGUACGAUCGCAAGAUUGAAACUCAAAGGAAUUGACGGGGGCCCGCACAAGCGGUGGAUCAU